UCACCCAAUUUCAAAUCUAAGAGCCAAGAUUAUGACAAACACAAAUGAUCUUUUUAUACAAUUUUCCUUGUCCAGGGUUUGUAUACACUGGAGAAAAACAGAGAUUGGAUAAGGGGGCGAAUGAUGGGAGAGAGAAGAGGAACAAAAGAAAGGAUGACAAAAGUGAAGCGACCCUCAGAGGAUGAUGGGGUUCAGGCGUUUUUGUCCCCACUCUACUAGAGGGGUCAUGCUACUGAAUGAGAAAAACCCACACGCUUUCGUCUCUUUCCUUCUCCUACUAUUCCUCUCUAUUUUAAUCCCUCUUCUCCCUCCACUUUCAUUCUCUACACCCCCUCUCUGCAACAGCUCUCUCUCGAUCUCGAUCUCGAUCUCGACCUCGACCUCGACCUCGAUCUCGACCUCUCGACACAGUGGUUUCCUAUUUGGAUAGUGGGUUUGCGCCAUGAGCAGCGACGCUUGCUCGGUGUCUGCACCAAGGGAGAGUGGCACAACCGCUGCCACCUGUGGUGUAAGAGUGAUUGGGAAGCGGUGUGUCAGGAUAGUGAAGCAGCACAGGACAAGGCUUUACAUUCUCAGGCGUUGCAUCACCAUGCUCCUUUGCUGGCAUACCCAUUCUGUGCGAGAAUGAGCAGAUUCCUCUUCACUCUCCCUCCUCUUCUUUAACUCUUCAUUUAACUUUUAUCCUCUUUCUUCAUUGGGUCUCUCUCUCUUCCCCUGCUUUUGUUUCUGUGUUGGCUUGAUUCAGUUUUCUCUCAUGGAAUACGUUAAAGUUUGUGCAACUGAGCCAUGGGACUACUUGUUUAUGUUGAAGAACUAUGGGGUCCUUUGUUGUUGCCAUCUCUGUUCAACUGUUCCUCCAAACUUGUCUCCCAUAUAAUUGUCUAUGGUUUUUUUUUUUUUUCCUCUCUUUGAAAGAAUACUAAAAGGGAAAAAUGUAAAACCAAAUGAUAGAGGGUGUGGUUUGCAUGAGGUUGCAACCUUAAACAAUACAAUUAAG
rnacentral:lncRNA from 1 species